rnacentral:rRNA from 1 species
GACAGAGGGUGCAAACGUUGCUCGGAAUUACUGGGCGUAAAGGGCGUGUAGGCGGGAAGGCAAGUCGGGCGUGAAAUCCCCAGGCUCAACCUGGGAACUGCACUCGAAACUGCCUUUCUUGAGUGUCGGAGAGGAAAGCGGAAUUCCUGGUGUAGAGGUGAAAUUCGUAGAUAUCAGGAGGAACACCAGUGGCGAAGGCGGCUUCUGGACGAUAACUGACGCUGGAGACGCGAAAGCGUGGGGAGCAAACAGG